UUGUCCUGUGAUACAAUUUCUAAGGGCUGU
rnacentral:piRNA from 1 species